rnacentral:rRNA from 1 species
GAAACCUGCAAAGCAGACCCGCGAACGUGUGUUUAACCACCGGGGGCGCCGAGGCGAGGGCAACCGAGCCUCGUCCCCCCGCUCGCCCGUUCGACGCUCGCGUCGUUCGGGCCAACGAACCCCGGCGCGGAAAGCGCCAAGGAAAACGAAACAAGAAGCGUCCGUCCCCCCGCUGCCCCGUUCGCGGGCGCCUGCGGGGGAMCGAGGCCUCUCUUUAAAUGUCAAAACGACUCUCGGCAACGGAUAUCUCGGCUCUCGCAUCGAUGAAGAACGUAGCGAAAUGCGAUACUUGGUGUGAAUUGCAGAAUCCCGUGAACCAUCGAGUCUUUGAACGCAAGUUGCGCCCGAAGCCAUUAGGCCGAGGGCACGUCUGCCUGGGCGUCACGCAUCGCGUCGCCCCCUCCCCAUCCCGUCUAAGGGAUGCUGGGACGGGGGCGGAAAUUGGCCUCCCGUGCGCGCGAGCUCGCGGCCGGCCCAAAUGCGAUCCCGCGUCGACGGAUGUCACGACCAGUGGUGGUUGGAAUCUCAACUCGCGUGCUGUCGUGCMCGGYUCYGUCGAUCGCUCGGGCAUCGUCGAGACCCAACGGCGCGUAACUGUGCCUUC